GACGAACGCUGGCGGCGUGCUUAACACAUGCAAGUCGAACGGAAAGGCCCUGCUUUUGUGGGGUGCUCGAGUGGCGAACGGGUGAGUAACACGUGAGUAACCUGCCCUUGACUUUGGGAUAACUUCAGGAAACUGGGGCUAAUACCGGAUAGGAGCUCCUGCUGCAUGGUGGGGGUUGGAAAGUUUCGGCGGUUGGGGAUGGACUCGCGGCUUAUCAGCUUGUUGGUGGGGUAGUGGCUUACCAAGGCUUUGACGGGUAGCCGGCCUGAGAGGGUGACCGGCCACAUUGGGACUGAGAUACGGCGCAGACUCCUACGGGAGGCAGCAGUGGGGAAUAUUGCACAAUGGGCGGAAGUCUGAUGCAGCAACGCCGCGUGCGGGAUGACGGCCUUCGGGUUGUAAACCGCUUUCGCCUGUGACGAAGCGUGAGUGACGGUAAUGGGUAAAGAAGCACCGGCUAACUACGUG
rnacentral:rRNA from 1 species